rnacentral:rRNA from 1 species
UACGUAGGUGACAAGCGUUGUCCGGAUUUACUGGGCGUAAAGAGCGCGCAGGCGGUCGAUCAAGUCGAGUGUGAAAGCCCCCGGCUCAACUGGGGAGGGUCAUUCGAUACUGAUCGACUCGAAGGCAGGAGAGGGUAGUGGAAUUCCCGGUGUAGUGGUGAAAUGCGUAGAUAUCGGGGAGGAACACCAGUGGCGAAGGCGGCUCUCUAGUACGGUACUGACGCUGAGACGCGAAAGCGUGGGGAGCGAACAGG